rnacentral:misc_RNA from 1 species
GAUUCCAAAGCCAGUUGAGGUUGAACAGAUACCUGUGCCACCAUCAACAAGUGAAAAAGCUGUUAUCACUGCAGCUAUUCCAGAUAAAAAAGGUUCCGAUAAUUAUCUGGAGUUUGAUUUCUUUUAGAUGUUAUUGCUUGCAAUUUGCAAAUUGUUUUCAUUUAUGGGGGAAGAAGUGUCUGAAUCUCUCAGGGGUGGUUAGCGAUGGGGACAAAGCUUUUCUUUCUUUUUCCCUCUGAUUUU